rnacentral:rRNA from 1 species
AUUGAACGCUGGCGGCAGGCUUAACACAUGCAAAUCGAGCGGGGAAAUGUAGCUUGCUACAUUACCUAGCGGCGGACGGGUGAGUAAUGCUUAGGAAUCUGCCUAUUAGUGGGGGACAACAUCUCGAAAGGGAUGCUAAUACCGCAUACGUCCUACGGGAGAAAGCAGGGGACCUUCGGGCCUUGCGCUAAUAGAUGAGCCUAAGUCGGAUUAGCUAGUUGGUGGGGUAAAGGCCUACCAAGGCGACGAUCUGUAGCGGGUCUGAGAGGAUGAUCCGCCACACUGGGACUGAGACACGGCCCAGACUCCUACGGGAGGCAGCAGUGGGGAAUAUUGGACAAUGGGGGGAACCCUGAUCCAGCCAUGCCGCGUGUGUGAAGAAGGCCUUUUGGUUGUAAAGCACUUUAAGCGAGGAGGAGGCUACUGGUAUUAAUACUACUGGAUAGUGGACGUUACUCGCAGAAUAAGCACCGGCUAACUCUGUGCCAGCCGCCGCGGUAAAAC